AUCUUAAAUUGUGAUGUGUCACGGCGCAACUCAUUCUGUGCCAUACAGCCUCUUUCCACCAGGACCGGCAACUCGCAGAUCAAAAACAAGAAAUUAUCAAUGCCUACCAAGAGUCUCCAUUGAACAACGCCUAAAACGGCAAGCUAUUUGAAUCCAAGGAAAUGGUAGCUUGUGAGUAUAGUUCAUUGUUUGGUGUAAGUUUUGGCAAUGUAACUGCUUUGUCGAAGAAAAAUAUUGCAUUAGUUAACCAUAAUGAUGACACAUGUAUGCUUGUUCCUCUAUUUAGUAUCUGUGAUUGCCAUGGCAGUUGGAACUGGUACGGCGGCAGUGCUCAUGGCCCCUGUUGCUUUGGGAGCGAUGGGGUUCGGUGCUGGUGGGGUUGCAGCUGGAUCAACCGCAGCAGGCAUGAUGUCUUCUGCAGCCGUGGCCAAUGGAGGUGGGGUAGCAGCAGGGAGUCUUGUUGCUGCUCUACAGUCAGCAGGAGCUGCAGGACUCACCAGUGUGGCCACAGCGGUUGUGGGAAGUGUAGGCGCGGCAGCCGGUGGAGCGGUGGGAUGGGUGUCCUCUAAGUUCAGGGGGUGACCUCAACAUUCAGCCGUAUUGACGCUGGGGUCUCAUCCUCGCUAUGAUUACAUUGAUAAUAAAAUUGAUUAUACUGAAAAUGUCUUUGUCCCAUACUGUAUGUGCUGAGCUUUAGGAUAGAGAAGUUGACUAUAGUGUUGAGGCUACUGAAUGUUUCCAUUGAUUUCUGACUGAUAAAGAGGAUGUGUUGAGGUUGAUUAGUGAAUGUGAAAAGAUCAGUGAGAAUUGCAAUGCCUUGCUGAAGUAAAUAUAUUUUAAAUUUC